ACGAACGCUGGCGGCGUGCUUAACACAUGCAAGUCGCACGGAAAGGCCCUGCUUUUGUGGGGUGCUCGAGUGGCGAACGGGUGAGUAACACGUGAGUAACCUGCCCUUGACUUUGGGAUAACUUCAGGAAACUGGGGCUAAUACCGGAUAGGAGCUCCGGCUGCAUGGUGGGGGUUGGAAAGUUUCGGCGGUUGGGGAUGGACUCGCGGCUUAUCAGCUUGUUGGUGGGGUAGUGGCUUACCAAGGCUUUGACGGGUAGCCGGCCUGAGAGGGUGACCGGCCACAUUGGGACUGAGAUACGGCCCAGACUCCUACGGGAGGCAGCAGUGGGGAAUAUUGCACAAUGGGCGGAAGCCUGAUGCAGCAACGCCGCGUGCGGGAUGACGGCCUUCGGGUUGUAAACCGCUUUCGCCUGUGACGAAGCGUGAGUGACGGUAAUGGGUAAAGAAGCACCGGCUAACUACGUG
rnacentral:rRNA from 1 species